UACGGGGGGGGCAAGCGUUGUUCGGAAUUACUGGGCGUAAAGGGCUCGUAGGUGGCCAAUUAAGUCAGACGUGAAAUCCCCAAGCUUAACUUGGGAACUGCGUCGGAUACUGGAUGGCUUGAAUUCGGGAGAGGGAUGCAGAAUUCCAGGUGUAGCGGUGAAAUGCGUAGAUAUCUGGAGGAAUACCGGUGGCGAAGGCGGCAUCCUGGACCGACAUUGACGCUGAUGAGCGAAAGCUAGGGGAGCAAACGGG
rnacentral:rRNA from 1 species